ACUCCUACGGGAGGCAGCAGUGGGGAAUAUUGCACAAUGGGCGCAAGCCUGAUGCAGCCAUGCCGCGUGUAUGAAGAAGGCCUUCGGGUUGUAAAGUACUUUCAGCAGUGAGGAAGGCGAGUACGUUAAUAGCGUGCUCGUUUGUACGUUAGCUGCAGAAGAAGCACCGGCUAACUCCGUGCCAGCAGCCGCGGUAAUACGGAGGGUGCGAGCGUUAAUCGGAAUUACUGGGCGUAAAGCGCAUGCAGGUGGUUUGUUAAGUCAGAUGUGAAAGCCCGGGGCUCAACCUCGGAAUUGCAUUUGAAACUGGCAGACUAGAGUACUGUAGAGGGGGUUAGAAUUUCAGGUGUAGCGGUG
rnacentral:rRNA from 1 species